CGAAUGGGGAGAUUCAUCGUCAAUAUGUUUAAUAUAUGUAUGCGUUAUGAUAUAAAUUUUUUUAUUCCUUUUUGGUUUAUUAUAAUUUAUACAUACGUAUAUUAUUUUAUUGUUAUUCAUUGUCGGCGUGCACUUCUCCCCUAGUAGGACGUCGCGACCCGUUGGAUGUCGGUUUACGGACUUAUUGGGUAGCCUUUAAUCGUUAAACAUUAAAGACCAAUUUGUCUUUCCUGACCGACUGUCCGGCGGUAUUCGUAUGGUAUUGAGUCGCAAAUUUUUUUGCGUUUACACCCGUCGCAAGCGAGGCCAGUGUUUUAUCCCGGUAGUGCGGACCUAGUGCCGUCGCUGGGCCUGGCCAGCUGUUGGCUGUUACGGUGUUCUGAAACUGACUCGAAAAAUAAAUAAUACCGGUCGGCGACGCUACUGCUUUGGGUACUUUCAGGACCCGUCUUGAAACACGGACCAAGGAGUCUAACAUGUGCGCGAGUCAUUGGGAUUUUUUUAAUAAAAUUAAACCUAAAGGCGCAAUGAAAGUAAAGAUCGUCCUUGUGUCGAUUGAGGGAGGAUGAGCCGUAUUACGAUACGGCUCCGCACUCCCGGGGCGUCUCAUUCUCAUUAUGAGAAGAGGCGCACCCAGAGC
rnacentral:rRNA from 1 species